rnacentral:rRNA from 1 species
CUAACACAUGCAAGUCGAAUGGUAACAGGAAACAGCUUGCUGUUUCGCUGACGAGUGGCGGACGGGUGAGUAAUGUCUGGGAAACUGCCUGAUGGAGGGGGAUAACUACUGGAAACGGUAGCUAAUACCGCAUAACGUCGCAAGACCAAAGAGGGGGACCUUCGGGCCUCUUGCCAUCAGAUGUGCCCAGAUGGGAUUAGCUAGUAGGUGGGGUAACGGCUCACCUAGGCGACGAUCCCUAGCUGGUCUGAGAGGAUGACCAGCCACACUGGAACUGAGACACGGUCCAGACUCCUACGGGAGGCAGCAGUGGGGAAUAUUGCACAAUGGGCGCAAGCCUGAUGCAGCCAUGCCGCGUGUAUGAAGAAGGCCUUCGGGUUGUAAAGUACUUUCAGCGGGGAGGAAGGGAGUAAAGUUAAUACCUUUGCUCAUUGACGUUACCCGCAGAAGAAGCACCGGCUAACUCCGUGCCAGCAGCCGCGGUAAUACGGAGGGUGCAAGCGUUAAUCGGAAUUACUGGGCGUAAAGCGCACGCAGGCGGUUUGUUAAGUCAGAUGUGAAAUCCCCGGGCUCAACCUGGGAACUGCAUCUGAUACUGGCAAGCUUGAGUCUCGUAGAGGGGGGUAGAAUUCCAGGUGUAGCGGUGAAAUGCGUAGAGAUCUGGAGGAAUACCGGUGGCGAAGGCGGCCCCCUGGACGAAGACUGACGCUCA